rnacentral:rRNA from 1 species
AUUGAACGCUGGCGGCAGGCCUAACACAUGCAAGUCGAGCGGAGCGGCGGACGGUUGAGUAAUGCCUAGGAAUCUGCCUGGUAGUGGGGGAUAACGUCCGGCAACGGGCGCUAAUACCGCAUACUAUCAGAUGAGCCUAGGUCGGCUUAGCUAGUUGGUGGGGUAAAGGCCUACCAAGGCGACGAUACGUAACUGGUCUUAGAGGUUGAUCAGUCACACUGGAACUGAGACACGGUCCAGAUUCCUACGGGAGUAAGCAGUGGGGAAUAUUGGACAAUGGGCGAAAGCCUGAUCCAGCCAUGACGCGUGGGUGAAGAAGGUCUUCGGAUUGUAAAGCACUUUAAGUUGGUAGGCGUUACCAACAGAAUAAGCACAGGCUAACUUCGUGCCAGCAGCCGCGGUAAUAA